AAUUUACGUGCACCUCAAUUAAUUCCACGAUUACGUGCUACUUGCUACAAAUUCUUCGGGAUUCAUUUUCCCGAUUUCGUUCCACAAAAAGCUACAUAACAACAACAUACUUAGUAUAAAUAAAAAUUAAAGGAAGUUGUCAAACUUUGUACAAACUCUUGAAUAAGAGCAACAUAAAUGGCUAAUAGCAACCUCAGCUUGUGUAUCCUAGGCAUUGUACAACCCCUCGG
rnacentral:misc_RNA from 1 species